rnacentral:lncRNA from 1 species
GGAAAUAUGAGUACAUUUUGAUGAAACUGAAGAUCUCCAACUUCUAAAUUAUGCUGCAUUUUUCUUGCCAGUAGGAGCAACCCUUCUUCUCCUACCUGAGAAUAUUAGAUUCUCUCCUGCCUCUACUGAUGUAUUUACAAGGGACUGAUUAUCCUCAUCAGGAGCUUCUCCCAAAUACCUGCCAUCGCUUCUAGACCUAUUACUAAACUGAAGUUGCAGGCUCCAGAGAGCAAGUCUACAGGAUAUCAGAAUUCUAAGAAAAACUUGGAAAUCAUGUUCAGGACUAUACAGGACUUUAAAAGCUUUAUCUUCCCAAACUGAAAACCAGACCUCUCAAGUCUAGCUGCUCUCCUCCAGGUGCUGCAUAAAUGGACCUGGUCUUUGGCUACCUUACUUUGGAUCACUUGGUUGAAACAGUUCCCUUAGUCAACUUGUCCACUGGACUUAAGCUGUGGGACACAGAAAUUUUCCCUGGAAGAACAGAACAAUGAAGAUGAAUAGUUGAAAAAUGAGGCUAUACAAGCAUGAUGACAGUACCUGCUCGGCUUCUGGUGAGCUUUUACUCAUGGCAGAGAGCAAAGUGGAAGCAGUAAGUCACAAAGUGAAAGCAGGAGCAAGGAAGGGGGAAGUGCCACACUUUUAAACAACCAGAUCACUUGAGAACUCAUUUACUGUCAUGAGGACAACACCAACUCAUGAGAGAUCCUCCCCUACAAUCCAAACACCUUUCACCAGCCUCAUCUCCAACAUUGGGUAUUACAUUUCAACAUGAGAUUUGGGCAGGGACAAAUACCCAAGCUCUAUCAUUCUGCCUCUGGCACCCCCAAAUCUCAUGUCCCUCUCCCAUUGCAAAAUAAAAUCACGCCUUCCUAAUUGUUCCCCAGGUCUUAACUUAUUCCAGCAUCAAUUCAAAAGUCCAAAGUCCAAAGUAUGCUCAGAUAUCACAAUUUCCUUCUGCCUAUGAGCCUAUAAAAUAAAAAACAAAUUAUUUAUUUUCAAGAUACAAUAGGAAUACAGGCAUUGUAUAAACAUUCCUAUUCCAAAAAUGAGAAAAGAAAGGGGCUACAGUCCCCAUUCAAGUUCAAAACCCAGCAGGGUAGCUGUUACAUCUUAAAAGGUCCAAAAUAAUCUCCAUUGACUCCCUUUCCCAUAUCAAAGGCACUUCUGCAAGUCUCAGAGUCUAAAGGCUGAAAAACCUGGAGUCUGAUGUCCAAGGGCAGGAGGAGAGGAAGCAAGCAUCUGACAUGGAAAGAAAGUGGGAGCCAGAAGACUCAGCAAGCAAGACUACCCCCAUGACUUCUUCCACCUAGGUCUUCCUCUUCCAGUCCACUGACCCAAAUGUAAAUUUCCUUUGGCAACAUCCUCACAGACACACCCCAAAACAAUACUUUGCCAGCCAUCUAGGAAUCCUUUAAUCCAGUCAGGAUGACAACUAAUGUUAACCAUCACAGCAUUUUCUAAAGAGAAUCCUGCAUUCUAAAGGAUCUAGUCUGGAUGCCAGGAGCUGUGUAUAGGAUGAGAGCCUGGUGGACCUGAUUGACCGCCUGUUGUUCAGUUCAGUUCAGAGACUGAAAAUCAGGAUUUGUGCUGGAGAGUCUUUGAACUGUGUGUGAAAGUAUCUGAAGGUCCAUGACAAUUUGAAAGGUUUGAGCACACAAUGAAAUGAGUUGAUAUUGACUGUUGGGAACCAGAGUUCUCAGUGGAUGAAGAGACACAGAAAAAUAAAAUGAAGGAAGGCAAAGAAGAUCUCUGAAGAGAUGGAUUGGAAUUGGAAGCAUUAGUAUGAACCAUGAUUCUAAAAUAGUUAUAUAUUGAUGUCUAUGCUUGUAUAUAUCCAGAAGUUUAUGUAUGUAUGUUUAAAUGUGUGUGUAAUAUAUAUGUAUACAUAUAUGUACACAUGUAUAUAUUUCCUAGCUUUGUCUACUGAAAGGGUCCACAAGCAAAAUCUUGUAGCGGAUCUUGGUCUCUAAGAUUGUUCCCUGUUAAAAAAAAAACAGGAUCCGUUGGAGAAAUUGCUGAUUCCAGUGCUGUAGCAGAAAAGGUAAUACAUGAUCCUAAAAUCAGUAGUCUCAUUCUGUUAGAUUACUGUGGGGUUCAGUAUGGUAGCCACUAGUCUCUUGUGCUAUUUAUUUAUUUAUUUUUAUUAUUAUGCUUUAAGUUCUAGGGUACAUGUGUACAGCAUGCAGGUUUGUUGCAUAUGUAUACAUCUGCCAUGUUGGUGUGCUGCACCCAUUAACUGGCAAUUUACAUUAGGUAAAUCUCCUAAUGCUAUCCCUGCUCCCUCCCCCAACCCCAUGUCAGGCCCCAGUAUGUGAUGAUCCUCAUCCUGUGUCCAAGUGUUUUCAUUGUUCAGUUCCCACCUGUGAGUGAGAACAUGCAGUGUUUGGUUUUCUAUCCUUGCGAUAGUUUGCUCAGAAUGAUGGUUUCUAAUUUCAUCCAUGUCCCUACAAAGGACAUGAACUCAUCCUUUUUUAUGGCUGCAUAGUAUUCCACGGUGUAUAUGUGCCACAUUUUC